GACGAACGCUGGCGGCGUGCUUAACACAUGCAAGUCGAACGGAAAGGCCCUGCUUUUGUGGGGUGCUCGAGUGGCGAACGGGUGAGUAACACGUGAGUAACCUGCCCUUGACUUUGGGAUAACUUCAGGAAACUGGGGCUAAUACCGGAUAGGAGCUCCUGCUGCAUGGUGGGGGUUGGAAAGUUUCGGCGGUUGGGGAUGGACUCGCGGCUUAUCAGCUUGUUGGUGGGGUAGUGGCUUACCAAGGCUUUGACGGGUAGCCGGCCUGAGAGGGUGACCGGCCAAAUUGGGACUGAAAUACGGCCCAGACUCGUACGGGAGGCAGCAGUGGGGAAGAGUGCACAAUGGGCGGAGGCCUGAUGCAGCAACGCCGCGUGCGGGAUGACGGCCUUCGGGUUGUAAACCGCUUUCGCCUGUGACGAAGCGUGAGUGACGGUAAUGGGUAAAGAAGCACCGGCUAACUACGUG
rnacentral:rRNA from 1 species